rnacentral:lncRNA from 1 species
UUUUUUCUUUAACGUACUUCCAGUCUUUCAAUGCAUUUUGUCUUCUUGUAAACUGUCAUGCUCCACUUCUCUCUCAAUGGAUGCUCCAAUUAAUGUUGAUUUCUCAAACACUCCAGGCCCAAAAUAUGCUACUCAACAAUCCAUUGGUAUUAGUUUGACAAUCCUUUCUUCGAAUAUGUUACAUUUCUUCGAAUAUGUUACAUGAUCCAUAUAUGCAUUUUGAUGAUCGUAAAAAAAUUUGCAUUUUGAUCAUUGAUGAGUAUUUGUAUCCCAUAUUGCUCUGUUCUUCAAUACUCUUAUUUUUUUUGAAACUCUUCAAUACUUUUUAAUAGAAUGGAAGAAAUUUCCUUUUCCUCAAUAGAAUGGAAGAAGAGGAAAACUUGUUUCUAUUAUCUUAUUGAACCAAAUGAACAUACAUGACUUUUAUAUACUAGUAAACUAAUUACAUGUGAUCUAUUAACAGAACUAAACUUCUUCACAAGUAGUUAUUAUAAACAGAACUCUCUAAUAUUGUGGAAGUAGACAUAUUCAUAAAAACAAACCUCCACUAAUUUUUAUUGAGGAAAUUCUUGAACCAACGGGCUGAGAUUUUUGGGUAUCGUUUUAAGCCAUUUUUGAAAUCCACAAGGUUAAGUCCAAAUCGCACAGUGUAGCCAGAGUCCCAUUCCAUAUUAUCCAACAGUGACCACACAAAAUAUCCCUUUAUAUUCACACCAUCCCUUCAAUACAUAAAAGUCAAUAUAAUAAUUAGGAUUUUUCUCCCAUUCCUGAUAAAGUACAAGAUACCAAAUCAAAUGCCCAAAUAAUUAACAUCCUACUUUUUACACUUUCCUUUGAUAUCAAAAGAGAGGGGGCUCUCAUUUUCCCGAAAAAGAUAAAUGUAAAAAGCAUAGAAAACAAGUAUAAGUUAAUAAGAAUUAGAAAAUUUAUUGCAAGACGCUUUUUAACACUAUUUUUAGCAUGCAUUUUUAUCGUUUGAAAUUCAUGUAUGUCCUACCAAAUAAGAAAUCGACUCACUAAAUUGGACGUGUGACCAGUAUGAUUUGGUGGAUUGCAUGUGGAUUUUAGUCAAUAAGAGAGGUUCUGACAAAGCAUUACUUACUUGAUUGCUUUAUGAGCAUAGUAAAGGUGACGAUAAAGGUAAUCAACUCUGUAAGUGUCCAAGAGGGAUUCUUCAAUUGAUAGUGUUGGAUCGUUGUACUCAUCAUAACCUAUCAAUUAAUUUUGUAACAUUUUCAUCAGCUUUAUUAAUAGCACGGGAUGUCGGGAUGCAUAAAAUAUCUGAGAAAAUAACAAGUACUUACUUGAUUGCUUUAUGAGCAUAGUAAAGGUGACGAUAAAGGUAAUCAACUCUGUAAGUGUCCAAGAGGGAUUCUUCAAUUGAUAGUGUUGGAUCGUUGUACUCAUCAUAACCUAUCAAUUAAUUUUGUAACAUUUUCAUCAGCUUUAUUAAUAGCACGGGAUGUCGGGAUGCAUAAAAUAUCUGAGAAAAUAACAAGUAAAAUUGAUGUUUUACCAUUUUCAGUAAUGUAAAUUACAGGAUUGUUGUACUCCUGUUUGAUGAAAAGCAAUAGUUGGUGAAAUCCUCGCGGAUAAAUGGAUAACCAGUCUGAAGCAGCCUGCACAUAAUAUGGAAUGGACCAAAAGCUAUGACAAAUAAUUUCCAGGGAUCAAAAUGAAAGGCAUUGAUAUGUAAAGAAGCUGCUAACGAAAUGAAGAAAUACAUAC